GGGUCGCUAGCUCAAUUGGCUAGAGCAACGGACUCUUAAUCCGUGGGUUGUGGGUUCGAGUCCCACGCGACCCACCA
rnacentral:tRNA from 1 species